rnacentral:rRNA from 1 species
CCUACGGGGGGCGGCAGUGGGGAAUAUUGGACAAUGGGGGCAACCCUGAUCCAGCCAUGCCGCGUGUGUGAAGAAGGCCCUCGGGUUGUAAAGCACUUUCAGUGAGGAAGAACGCCUGGUGGUUAAUACCCAUCAGGAAAGACAUCACUCACAGAAGAAGCACCGGCUAACUCCGUGCCAGCAGCCGCGGUAAUACGGAGGGUGCGAGCGUUAAUCGGAAUUACUGGGCGUAAAGCGCGCGUAGGUGGCUUGAUAAGCCGGUUGUGAAAGCCCCGGGCUCAACCUGGGAACGGCAUCCGGAACUGUCAAGCUAGAGUGCAGGAGAGGAAGGUAGAAUUCCCGGUGUAGCGGUGAAAUGCGUAGAGAUCGGGAGGAAUACCAGUGGCGAAGGCGGCCUUCUGGACUGACACUGACACUGAGGUGCGAAAGCGUGGGUAGCAAACAGGAUUAGAUACCCCUGUAGUC